GUAGGGUGCGAGCGUUAAUCGGAAUUACUGGGCGUAAAGCGUGCGCAGGCGGUUCGUUGUGUCGGCGGUGAAAGCCCCGGGCUUGACCUGGGAAUGGCCGUUGAAACUGGCGAACUGGAGUGUGGCAGAGGGGGGUGGAAUUCCGCGUGUAGCAGUGAAAUGCGUAGAGAUGCGGAGGAACACCGAUGGCGAAGGCAGCCCCCUGGGCUAACACUGACGCUCAGGCACGAAAGCGUGGGGAGCAAACAGGAUUAGAUACCCUGGUAGUCCACGCCCUAAACGAUGUCGACUGGGUGUUGGGGAAGCGAUUUCCCAGUACCGUAGCUAACGCGUGAAGUCGACCGCCUGGGGAGUACGGCCGCAAGGUUA
rnacentral:rRNA from 1 species